rnacentral:rRNA from 1 species
GUCGAGAAUCUUUCACAAUGGGGGCAACCCUGAUGGAGCGACGCCGCGUGGAGGAUAAGGUCUUCGGAUUGUAAACUCCUGUCAUGCGUGAACAAGGUUGCUUGGUUAAUACCUGGGCAAAUUGAUGGUAACGCAAGAGGAAGAGACGGCUAACUCUGUGCCAGCAGCCGCGGUAAUACAGAGGUCUCAAGCGUUGUUCGGAAUCACUGGGCGUAAAGGGUGCGUAGGUGGCGUGGUAAGUCAGAUGUGAAAGCCCGGGGCUCAACCUCGGAACUGCAUACGAUACUGCCAUGCUAGAGUACUGGAGAGGUGACUAGAAUUCUCGGUGUAGCAGUGAAAUGCGUAGAUAUCGAGAGGAAUACCAAAGGCGUAGGCAGGUCACUGGACAGUUACUGACACUGAGGCACGAAGGCCAGGGGAGCGAACGGGAUUAGAAACCCCUGUAGUCC